UACAGGCAUAUAACACGUUUGGGGGUGGCGGGUCGUUAUUAGUUGAUUUCUACAUCGUCCAUGGUCGCAUUUACGCAAUACUCCAUUCUGUUUUAAACAGACUAGAUUUUAUCACAAUAUCUGCUUUAUCUGUGUAAAAUCUAAAAAUUAUUUAUUGGUUUUUAGCGGGCGAGGGGACAAUUUUUGCCCCUAUUCCCUGAAGAAGAAAAAAUAAUCGCGAAAAAAAAACUAGUCAUCAUUCAUCAUUACUGCAGGCGGAUGGUAAUUUUUCUCACAUAUUUUGAGUUUGUCGAUAAAUUCAAUCUUCGUUGUAAUUUUCUAUAAUUUUAUUAAAUUAUAGCGGUCAUAUCUUUGAAAUGGAAGCAUAUUUGCUAAGACCCAUCUAAGAAAAACACAAAGAAGGAAUUAUUGCAGCAUGAGCAAAGUUACUAAAGUAGGUAAACUAUUUCAUAAAUUGUGUGUUCCAAUUUCCCAAAAGAAAUGGAAAGGUAUUCUUUCAAAAUGAGAAAUAUACCCUGAAAAUGACAUUAAGUUAACAAUCUAUGCGCAAAUAGAUGUAUAUCCAAUUUAUCUAAAUACUAGAAUCUUGUUUUUCAUUGUACCUUUCUUUGUCAAAUGUAUUGAUCCAUCAGUUUUGUUCAUUUGCUUAUACUGUUUUAUGCUUUGAGACAAAAUGAAUAAAGACUUGAGUCGAAGAAAAAAAAUUGAGA